rnacentral:rRNA from 1 species
GGGCUUUUCCAAUUGCUGCGACAGCACUUGGAGGAUGUAUAGCGAAAGUUAGUUGUAUUAACUAUAAUUAAUGCAGCAUUGAGUAUGAAUAAUAUAUUUAUUAUAAACUGCAGUAUGCAAUUUUAAGUAAGUAGAUUUGGUAAUUAAUGUUGUAUUUUUUAUUUGUUAAUGCAGUAUGUACUACGUACAUUAAAGUUCUAAAUAGAAUUAUGAUAAUGACAUUUUCUAUUUAUGUCUUGACAAAGUCACGUGCCAGCAGUCGCGGUAAUACGUGGUAGACAAGUGUUAUUCAUCUUAAAUAGGUUUAAAGGGUACUUAGACGGUAGAUUAAGCCAUAAAAGGAACUAAUUUGCUAGAGUUUGAUGUGAGAGGGGGAGUACUAAAGAGUGUAGAGAUGAAAUUCUGUGAUACCUUUAUUGGAACAGGUAACAGCGAAUGU